GCGGAAGAAAUAGUCGACAUGGUGCGUCACUUCCUGUAGGGGCGGAGCUGUGGAGGCGCGUCCCUGGACCUGGGACUGGAUCUGCAAUUGUAUUCCUGUUUUAAGCACCGUUCUUUGGAGCAUUUCGGCACUGGAGCUUUAACCGCUGAUGGCGCUGUGGGUGGAGAAACGUUUGUUAGGUAGUGUUAGAUAUUGCUGUGUGGUGUUCCUUCCCUACGCCGGAAACGGCGGGUCCUGGCCGCCCGGAGGUACUCAGACCAGGCUUGUUACAUCAUGGUUGCAGGAUGGCUGCUACAGCUGUGGACAUCACAUCAAAGCAUGGCGGAAGCUAAAGCAGGAAGAGAGGAGGAGGCAAAACAGCUUUAUUCACUUGUGGCUCUCAUGAAGAAUAAAGAUGUUUCUC